AUUGAACGCUGGCGGCAGGCUUAACACAUGCAAGUCGAACGAGUGGCGGACUGGUGAGUAAUGUCUUGGAAACUGCCCGAUGUAGGGGGAUAACUACUGGAAACGGUAGCUAAUACCGCAUACCAUCUUAUGUGCCCAGAUGGGAUUAGCUCGUAGGUGGGGUAAUGGCUAACCUAGGCGACGAUCCCUAGCUGGUCUGAGAGGAUGACCAGCCACACGGGAACUGAGACACGGUCCAGACUCCUACGGGAGGCAGCAGGGGGGAAUAUUGCACAAUGGGCGCAAGCCUGACAGAGCCAUGCCGCGUGUGUGAAGAAGGCCUUCGGGUUGUAAAGCACUGUCAGCGAGGAGGCGUUACUCGCAGAAGAAGCACCGGCUAACUCCGUGCCAGCAGCCGCGGUAAUUC
rnacentral:rRNA from 1 species